GUGUCCUCCACGUAUUUUGUGAAUUCAGUGUUCGGUUGAGUGAAAUAAGUCUUCAAAAGUGUUGUUUUGAUCCGGUUACAUCACAACGGAUUCCUGAAGCUGCUGAUAAGACUGAAAAAUGUAUUUCAAAUCACGCAGGUUGUGAAGAAGUACACCAUUGUAAAGUAAAAAGAAGAACACAAGAUUGGAACAUAAAGCGUGGUCAUAUCACGCUACUUCCCCGGGAGGAGACUGAUGGUCCCAAGACCUCCGAAGUUAAUCAAAGAGAUCAGAGAAGAAGACUUUGCCAUCAUGAACUCUGCAGUCAGCACAGAAUCCAUGGACAUGGGGGAAGAGGACAUGUCCCAAGUGGAGGGCUGCGGGAUGAGCGGCGGGUCGGACGAGGAAGACGACUGCGCGUCCUCGCCAGCGGGGUCGGCGUAUGACGACAGCUCCGACAUCAUCAAGACCGCCAUGAGUGACGAGGUCACCAAGCAACUCGCUGCCGCUGGUCCUGUGGGCAUGGCCGCAGCCGCCGCUAUAGCGUCUUCCAAGAAACGCAAGCGACCACAUUCGUUCGAGACAAACCCCUCCGUGCGCAAACGACAUCAGAACAGGCUGCUUAGGAAACUACGGCAAACGAUAGACGAGUUCGCGACGCGCGUGGGCCAGCAGGCGGUGGUGCUGGUGGCGACGCCGGGCAAGCCCAACACCUCGUACCGCGUGUUCGGGGCCAAGCCGCUCGAGGACGUGGUGCGCAACCUGCGCUGCAUGAUCAUGGAGGAACUUGAAAACGCACUGGCGCAACAGUUCGGCACGGGCGCGGGCGCGGCCCCGCCGCCGCCGGCCGACGACCCGGCGCUGUUCGAGCUGCCGCCGCUCAUCAUCGACGGCAUCCCCACGCCCGUCGAGAAGAUGACGCAGGCGCAGCUGCGGGCUUUCAUACCGCUCAUGCUCAAGUAUUCCAUGGUCCGUGGCAAGCCGGGCUGGGGCCGGGAGUCGACGCGGCCGCCGUGGUGGCCCAAGGACCUGCCCUGGGCCAACGUGCGCAUGGACGCUCGCUCAGAGGAUGAGAAGCAAAAAAUGUCUUGGACGCACGCGCUAAGGCAGAUCGUGAUCAACUGCUACAAGUACCACGGCCGCGAGGAUCUCCUGCCGGCGUUCACAGAGGACGAUGACGGGAAACCACAGCAACAGAGCAUGUCUCAGUACGCACCGGCAGUGCUACAGACGAUCACGAACCCGGACGGCACCGUGUCGCUGAUACAGGUGGACCCCAACAACCCCAUCAUCACACUACCAGACGGCACCACGGCACAAGUUCAAAUCCACAGCGGCGAGGGUGGCGGCAGCGUCGUGCAGGCGCUGGAGGGCGAGGUGGCCGUGGACCUCAACGCCGUCGCCGAGGCCACGCUCAACCACGACGGGCAGAUCAUACUCACCGGCGAGGAUGGACACGGCUACCCCGUGUCGGUGUCGGGCGUGAUCACGGUGCCGGUGUCGGCGUCGGUGUACCAGUCCAUGGUGGCCUCCAUGCAGCAGCAGGACGGCGUCUGCGUCGCGCCCCUCGUGCAGGUCACCAAGCUCAAGAUUGAGAUCGAUUAACACACAUACACAUAUUCUGCUCUAAGUAUUACUUAAAAUAGCCAACAACAUACACAUAUCGGCUCCCUCUAAAGAAAACCACGUAAGCACCUCUGUAAAAAUCACAUUCGAAUGCGAUGUUGAUGUGUUUGCGGAGUUUGACCUAACCUGUAUUAGGCUGGUUUCCCCUUCGCGGGUUGGAUGGUCUGGCAGGCAGUCGCUUCUGUACAACCCGACCUGUCAAGUCUUCAGGCUGUGAAAAACGGGAUAAUGCUAUCCCUAGCAUUGUUCCCUAGGUGAUGAUGAUAUUCGAAUGCGCUUUUCCGUAAUAAAACCUUAUUAUCUUUUAAUUAUUUUCAUUUCGGGUAAAAAUUGAGACUACAUUUUUUACCUACGUUAAAACUAGAUUUAUUGUGAGGUUUUGACAACGAUAAUUACAUCCGAAUGUGAUCAAAUAGGCGCUUACGUGCUUUUGACUAUAAAGUGACCAUAUACAUACACAACACAAAAGUUCAAAUGGCGUUUUAUGAAGGUAUAAGCGAGACAAAUGUACUACUGUUGCUUUAUCUAGUGACUAUAGCAAAGCUCAAAUUGAUAUGGAAUAGUCAAAACACAUGUUUUGUUUUCUAUUGUUGUCUCGUUAUAUCUUCUAGACAAAGGACUCCCCUUCGAUCUUCAUCUACAUAUAAACCAGAAUACAGCGCGGACACUUCAUGCAAAAUCUCGUUCUUACUCUGUGCCGCCUUACCCCGUGCGUGCGAGCGAGACAAAAAAUCUAUUACACAGAUUAAUGGUGCUGAUUCCAGUACGGUCAUGAGUACUGAUAUGUAUAUGCUUUGAAACCAUGUCACAUAAACCUUUUUGACAAAUUAAACCGUAAGUCUUAUUAAAUGUCAUAUAUGACAGGGUUCUAAAGUGGGUAUAUGAUAUUGCUCAUGACUGUACACAUCAUCUAAUUUUAUUUUAAGUUAUAUCUCAUUUUCUUAUCCGCCGAAAAGGAAAUUGACGGGUAAUCGACAGGCAUAAAAUUUAUGAAACACACGUCAAUUUUAGGCAGAAAUUUAAAAAAUUUCUCCCAAAAUUUUAUACUAGCCAAUAACCUGACAGAAUUAAGUUGACAGCACACGUCAAACGGUUGCAUAUCAGUGAGAUAUCUAUUUUAUUCGCCCGGUUUAUUCAUUCGUUUUAAAAUUAAAAGUUGUCAAUCAUCCGUCCCAUUCCUUUUCGGAGGAUAAGAAAAUGACGGAUAUAAUUUAAAAUAAAGUUAGAGGUGUCUGCAGGAAUCCGGGCCAAUAUACUUCACCACGCUGCUCUUUUUCGAGUUAAGCGUAUAAGGUCUCCGAGAGCUCAAUCUUGGAAGACUUGGCUUAUCGAUGUCAAUUUCUUAUAUUUAUAAGCAAAAUAAUGACCCAUACAUUUAUCUCCAGAUUAUAAAUCUGAGAUGUUUGUUAGAUAGUAGACACUAAAAUUGUUCAGUGAUCUUAGUUAUGUAGUUAUUGACAAUAUUCACAACGAAUGGCAACAUAACAAGAGUCAUGCCAGAAAAAAAUGGACUCUAUAGAGCUUGCUUUUAUUUUAUUUUUUGUUAUUGGUCACACCAGUAUUGUAGAAACGCUUGACAAGCUAGACUGAUCCUUAUUAUUGUGUGAGUAGGAAAUAAAACGUCCGUUCCGUUUAUAGAAAGCGUGUGUUACCAAUAUAAAAUAUGUAUUAUAAUUUUAGGAUUAGAUUUUUUUACUUUUAAAUAAAUUUGUACCGCUUUCGUCGUUACAGCCUAGGUUUUUAAAAUAAGUACAUUAAUAUUUCGAUUUUUAAAAUUGGUUGGUUCCAAAGCCAUGUUGGAAGCAACAUAUAGUGAGAAUGUAGAAAGUUUGUGUCAUAGACACUAAAGUGACCCAAAGAUAAAAAGUACAAUGUUUGAGUGGCAAUAACUAAUAUGUGCCAUUCAUAAUGUUAUUGAACAGUGAGAUAGAUGUGAUAUUUUAGUAAAGUAUUAGGGAGCUUACACGCUUAGGCCCAUAGAUCAUAGAAACAAGGGAGAUAUGUCCUGAGCACUAAAUUACAAUAGUCCACAUGUCGCCGUGUGGAGCGGCCGCACCAAGACAUCUCUGUCUGGACCGCUACAUCGAUUUACUCGCCGUACAUUGCGUAGUAACACAAGCGCUAGUUGUGGUUGCGCUAUACCAAAGAAGCAAUAAAUGACGUGGAAAGUUUUAUAACGCGAUCGUUACUCGGUAAAACGUUUUGUUUUGUGCAUGUUUCGGUUCCACCUGCUAUGCUCCCGCGGCAUCUCUAUAUUAGGAACUCUGUGCUUAUGCUUUAAAACACGUGAAGCGUUGCGCGGUAAAUUAAAACAUAAGCCCAUUUAUACAAGGGCUCACAUUAAGCAAAAACUUAAGUCCCAAUAUUACAAAAACCACUGUGACCACCGUCACGAGGGUUCCGCGUUUUUUUUUUAAAGUGGAUCCCUAAAAACGAUCUCUAAAGCAGAGCUUAAUAGAUAACUUACAAUGGUUACCGAGAAUAAAGUAUUUGGUUUAGAUAAGUUUGAACGAGAGAAAUAUUUUAUUUAUAUUACCUAGUAUUAUUGUGCUGUUUUAUUUUGUUAAUUUUAUGAUUGUGUUCGACAUGAUUUGACCACCAAAAUCACUACUAGUUCCUGUUACAUAUUUACAAGUGUUACGGUAAAACUUACCAAAAAAAAACCUCGAAACUACUACCAUAAAUACAUAUUUACUUGCAAGGAUGUGUAAAUACAUUAGUUUAUUUUGCAACAGAUUUACAAUGUAUCAUUUUAGUGGCUAACAUUGUAUUUUGUAGACCAUCUUCUAUUAAUGUUGUGUAAAUUAAGUGUUCACCGAAGCAUAAUGUGUAGUGAGCUAGUAUUUGGGUGAAUAUCAAAAUGUGUUAAGUUUGGUGGCGACUGUCAUAUAAUUUUUUCGUGAAAAAUUGGGAAUUGAAAAAUUCCUUUUUCAUGUCGGAACCGAGGAUCCUUUUGGAUCUUUUUCAUGUCGGAACCCAAUUUUUCAUGAAAAAAUAAUAUGAAAUUUCGCCACCAAACUUGAAAUUUUGAGAUUCACCCAUUUGUGCCAAUUGCAUGGUGUUGCCAUUUAGUAUUAUGUUUUAUUUUAAAGUAAGAUUUUGCUUGCAUUUGUGUUGUAAGAGUAGUGAGACUUGCUAAUCUUUAUACUAGUAAUAGCUACCGAGAUCAUUGCCAACAUACUGUUUUCUAGCAAAACUCAUUGAUUCAUAUAAAGUCAUAUACUUACAUAAAGUCACACAUGCGGUCGUUACGUUUUUAGGAAUGAGAGAUUUGAUUUUUGACUUAAAAAUUAGCGAUGAAGAUAUUUUAUAUAAUAAAGUUGUGUUAGACCAAUACUGUCAUUGGUCCCAUGAAUUUUUAAAACGGCAACAUUGAACCGCGUACAUUAAAUAGGGAAUUUUAGUUGAAAUGUUGUAUUUAAAAAUAAUUUUAUUAUUUUCGUUAUUUUAAGUGAAAGCUAUGGUAAACUUGUUUGGUAAGACCACUAAUUUGACUUAUACUUUAUCCUAUUAUUCAGGGUUAAUUAUUGGUGGUGUUGCCAGAUAAGAUAUUAUGCGUUUGAUUUAUUUUAGCUAAGUGUGCAUGUUUUGUUUUCAAAGUUUAUAAUUUGUUGUAUUAUUUGAAAAUUUAGUAUUGUAUAGACCUCUUGCUAUGGAAGGCUUUCCAAAGUUUUUUAAAAAAUACGAUGAAAGCCAAAAUAAAAGACGAAAAGUUUUAGCUAUUUUGGCAUAGUGGCUAAUAUUAAAUAUUUGUGAUUUUGCAAGACAUACUUACAAUAUUGAUAAUAGAAAUGUGUCUAGUGCACGUACUACGCAAGUAUAAACUUGCGUCAUAAUUUUAAACUGAGAAAACAUAUGGAACCUCUCCCGUCUAUUUGUCUGAAAUAUUAAAUAAAAUAUUGUCGUGUUCUUAAUAGAUUAAACGAAUUAAAUAUGACGUUCAGUCCCAUGUAAUUUUACCAAAGAUUAGUGUAUAAAGAUUGGUGGUGUAGUGUUUUAUUUGCCUGCCGUUGUACCGUGAUACAUUAUAUGCUGUCUUGUUUUAAUUUUUUGUUGUACGUUGUUGGAGGUGUGGUGCGCGAAAAGAAUUGACGCGCUUAUACAAAAAUAACUUGAGAGUAAUUAAAAGCGCACCAGUGUCGACCCAAUGUAUAUUUUAAUUUGUUUUACACUUGUGUCGUCUUCAUUUUGGAAUCAAAUUCGGCGUGUGGAACUCUAUCUAAUUCAUUGUUUGAAGUUUACGCGGUUAUUAUCAUAAUUAAAACACAUAAUACCGCGUUAUCAUCAGGGAUAUGAGACUCCCGAUAGUUCAACACUUGCAAGUGCCAUGAUAAAUGCCAUGGAAAUAUCGGGAGUCUCAUAUCUCUGAUAACAACGCGGUAAGAACCCGGUAUUAUGUGCUCUGUCUAAUUUAAUUAUCUAUAGAUUACUUUAAUCACGAUGCAUGAAUAGACAUAGCGAGAAUGGUUCUACAUUUGUUUUUUUGUAAUAUGCCGCGCGCGGAUUUGCGGAAAUCGGUGCAUAUAAAGUAUAAACUCGAUUAUUAUUUAUUACAAAAAAUCUCCAACUGCAAUCGUCUGUUUUUCCAACUCGUUAUAAUUUAGGAGUCUUCAAGGCUAGCGUGAAUAGGUAUUUGCUAAAAGCGUGAUCGACAUUAGACCACGUCACUUGCCAUCAAGUGAGAUUGUGGCCAAACGCGAGCCUAUAUUAUUUAAAAAGAUAAACAACACUAACACUCCUGGUACUUGCAUGUAUAUGCAAUGUGAGCUUAAAAACAACAGACGAAGAAGCACAUGCAUUGUUUUAAAUCUGUGAGUAAUUUGUUUGUAUAGAGUAAACUUUCGUGUGUCGCAUUUGAUUCCAAUCUACCCUGUAGUUACGCUAUGUGUAAAGCACGCAAUAAAGUCAUGUGAAUGUG